CGAGAUCCGACGAAGCUACGGCGAGAUUCGACGACGCUAUGAAGAGAUCGUACGAAGCUGCGGCGAGAUCCGACGAAGCUAUGGCGAUCUCUCUCACGACGCUAAGAAACGCUAACAAAGGUCAAAGGAUAAUAGAUGUUGAUUUUUGUCUCUUUCUGUAAUUGUAGCUUUUGUUUUUCAAAAUCGAUAUGUUUCUGCGAAGGAAGACGGAGUUUUUCUCGUGAAGUUUUCAAAUCUCAAGUUUAUAAAAUCUUAUAAAUAUUUAUCAGUGAAGAACGUAGUGCUUAUAUAUUAUCGUUUUUGAUAUGUCUUUGUUGAUCUUUCUUGUUUUGAGAUUUUUUUUGUGUUGAAUAUUUUUUAUUUCUUCCUUGAUCCAUAUAUUUCUUAUAAUCAGGUUAUGAUGAUUGAACCAAUGACGCUCCAGUGACCAUAUCCAAUUGCUUCGACCAAAUCUCGCUCCGGUGAACACCAACAAGCUCCGGUGAACACGAUCGACAAACUUAAAGAUAGUUUGUGUCAGUGGAUUUGAUUUCCGAGUUCAAUUGAGUAAAUUAGUUCAAUUAAAUCUAUGUAAAACCCCAAAUUUAAUUGACGUGUUUGAAUUUUGAAGUGCACAUUUCUGAGUUAAAUUACAGUGAAUCUUGUUUUUGGAAGUGAGUGCUUAUGCGUAGG
rnacentral:lncRNA from 1 species